rnacentral:rRNA from 1 species
GCAGUCGAACGAGAAGCUAGACUUCGGUCGAGUGGAGACUGGCGCACGGGUGAGUAACGCGUGGCAAUCUAGCUACUGAUUCAGAAUAACCGCGGGAAACUGCGCCUAAUACUGAAUACGCCCUCCGGGGGAAAGAUUUAUCGCCAUUAAAUGAACCCGCUUCGGAUUAGCUUGGUGGUGAGGCAACGGCUCGCCAGAGGCGACGAUCCGUAGCUGGUCUGACAGGAUGAUCACCCGCACUGGGACUGACACACGGUCCAAACUCCUACGGGAGGCAACUCCGGGGAAUAUUGGACAAUGGGAGCAUGGCUGAUCGAACCCUGCCGCGAGAGUGAUGAACGCCUUGGGGGUGUAAAGCUCUUUCAUCAGGGAAGAUUUUGACAGGACCUGAAAAAGAACCCCCGGCUAACUCCGUGCCACCGGCCGCUGCAAUACGGAGGGCGCUAGCGUUGUUCGGAUUUACUGGGUGUACAGAGCGCGUGGGCGGCUUGCCAAGGUGGGGGU